UGCAAGUCGAACGGAAAGGCCCGCUUGCGGGUACUCGAGUGGCGAACGGGUGAGUAACACGUGGGUGAUCUGCCCUGGACUCUGGGAUAAGCCUGGGAAACUGGGUCUAAUACCGGAUAUGACCUUACAUCGCAUGGUGUUUGGUGGAAAGCUUUUGCGGUUCAGGAUGGGCCCGCGGCCUAUCAGCUUGUUGGUGGGGUAAUGGCCUACCAAGGCGACGACGGGUAGCCGACCUGAGAGGGUGAUCGGCCACACUGGGACUGAGACACGGCCCAGACUCCUACGGGAGGCAGCAGUGGGGAAUAUUGCACAAUGGGCGCAAGCCUGAUGCAGCGACGCCGCGUGAGGGAUGACGGCCUUCGGGUUGUAAACCUCUUUCACCAGGGACGAAGCGCAAGUGACGGUACCUGGAGAAGAAGCACCGGCCAACUACGUGCCAGCAGCCGCGGUAAUACGUAGGGUGCGAGCGUUGUCCGGAAUUACUGGGCGUAAAGAGCUCGUAGGCGGUUUGUCGCGUCGUCUGUGAAAUUCUGCAACUCAAUUGUAGGCGUGCAGGCGAUACGGGCAGACUUGAGUACUACAGGGGAGACUGGAAUUCCUGGUGUAGCGGUGAAAUGCGCAGAUAUCAGGAGGAACACCGGUGGCGAAGGCGGGUCUCUGGGUAGUAACUGACGCUGAGGAGCGAAAGCGUGGGUAGCGAACAGGAUUAGAUACCCUGGUAGUCCACGCCGUAAACGGUGGGUACUAGGUGUGGGGCUCAUUUCACGAGUUCCGUGCCGUAGCUAACGCAUUAAGUA
rnacentral:rRNA from 1 species